GGAGAACGCAGCUCCGCCCUCGCAAAGGCACACAGCGCCGGCGCGGGCGUGGCGGAGAGGCGGACAGCAGCGGCACGGCGGAGAGGCAGACAGCGACGGAGAGGCGGACAGCGGCGCAGAGGCGGACAGCGGCGGCACGGCGGAGGGGCGGACAGCGGCGGAGAGGCGGACAGCGGCGGCGCGGCGGAGAGGCGGACAGCGGCGGAGAGGCGGACAGCGGCGGCGCGGCGGAGAGGCGGACAGCGGCGGAGAGGCGGACAGCGACGGAGAGGCGGACAGCGGCGCAGAGGCGGACAGCGGCGGCACGGCGGAGGGGCGGACAGCGGCGGAGGGGCGGACAGCGGCGGCGCGGCGCACAGUGCCGGCGCUGGCGCGGAGAGGCGCAGGCCCAGGCUCCACUCCCCAGCUGUGA
rnacentral:lncRNA from 1 species